UGAGACAAGUAGAAGCACCCGCUUCUCACCUGAUUGACACUUUCUUAGUAGUUGACAGGUCCGCUCAUUAUUAUUUAAUAUGAACGGGACGCGUGUGGGUGCAGUAUGUACCGACACUUUUUUAAUGCA
rfam:Pontibacillus halophilus JSM 076056 = DSM 19796 strain JSM 076056 contig3, whole genome shotgun sequence.